UGAGGAUAAGGAUGCUAAAGGGGGGCGGGGGGCAAUUAUCAGGAAUUCAGAUCGUAACGGUCCAUCUGAGGACGUCCGUGAGCUAUCCAACGGCUCAAGAUGACUCCACGCUUGCUUUGCCGCUAAUUCCCGCGCCUGUUGUUAUCAGAUGCUAAACCGUGUUGUUUAGUUCUAAUUAAACUUCAUUUGCUGUAAUCGUGUUUAAGCCUUGAACCAUAAAAGGCCGGUGGAGAUUCUGUAAGGGAGAAGGAUGAACAAUCGAGACAGUAGUUCCAUAGAGUAAAGUAACUGUAGUUGUAGUUCCUCUUGAAUCAUCUUUUAAUCUUCCAGUCCAGUUUAUCGAUAUUGCUAUCAGAAUUUUCACUCAAAAUUCUUCUGUUUCGAUUUGUGUUCUAGUUCAUUCUUGCACCUCCUGUCACCGCCGUGGGUCAAGGAGCUCGCCAACCCGCCCUCUUGCGGGAUCUCCAACCUCCGCUUCUCCAACCACAGCUACAACCUCCUCGUCUCCUCAUGGGACAAGGCCAGCGACGGCAUACACGCUCCCCUUCCCUCCCGUCUCCCCCUUCCUCUGUUCGUUAAACCCUAGCUCUUUGAUCCGGCUGAUCUGAUCUGGUUUGGACGCUCGUGCUCGGCUGCAGACGGUGCGGCUCUACGAUGCCGACGUGAAUGUGCUCAAGGGGGAGUUCGUCCACCCAGGGGCCGUCCUCGACUGCUACGUGCACGACGACUCCUCGGGGUUCAGCGCCAGCACUGGCCACACCAUGCGGAGGUGAUGGUUCUUAUGAUUUUGACAAGCUUCUGUCUUAUUCCUCAUCUUGCCUUGCAUAGGAUUUGGGGACUGGCUAGGAGAUGUGAGGUGAUAUGAGCUUUCUGUUUCCCAUCUGACGUCAAGCUUGAAACUGUGCUGGAGGAGACGGUGCUUGCGGUUAACCGACGUGCUGCGCCGUUCCUCGGAUCUCUGUGUCUCCGAGGAUGGGAAGAAAGUUGGUAGGGCUAAUGAGUUGCUGAAGCCAGAUGAGGUUAUAGAGCAAGUGGACUCUAGGACAAUUGCUGCAUCACCGCUUUUUUACAAUGUAAAACUGGAAGAUGUCGAUCUUUUUUUCUCAAUCUGGCAAGGUAUGUUAUCUAUCUGUUAGCACUGAAUAUUGCAUUUAAAAGAAAAAAUGAAGCAAAUAUCACAGGUAGUCAGCAGAAUUUUUAUGCAAAUAGAAAACUGAUACAUAGGAUAGGCAAGAUUUUCCAUUGCUAGAUGCUUUGAGGUUCAGUAUUGAAGAGUGACUCUCUUGAGCUGCAAAUGUUCUGUCAUAACUCAAAUCCUUGAAGCUAUGGAUGAGAGAUCAAUGGAUACGAUAAGUUGGUGAAUUAGGCAAUUACCAUUACAAUACUAGUAUUGCAUUAAUUUUGCAAUGUAAAUAGUUAAUAUCUAUAACGCUAUGUUGCAUGUGUACUGUUUGCAUCGCAUGUAAAUAGUGUGAGGCUACCACAACAUGUUUCUGACAAAAGAAGCUUCUGUGGCACUGCUUUAGUUUAAUUUUCAGAAGAAGAUGAAGCAAAAGGUUGUGCAAUUUAGGAACCGUUGCAACGCACGGGCAUUGUACUAGCUCAAGUUAUUGUUAGCUUAGAUGAGAAGGACCAAAAUACAUAUGAUUUUCAUAAGGAUGCAUGUAGGGGUGUUAGAUUGAGGAUCCAUUGCAACACACGGCAUUAUACUAUAAGAUGUAAAAGGGAUGUAAUUGUGAUUUAUUUUUAAAGAGUUCAUAACCUUGGGCUGUUGGCAUAUCUGUUUCCAGAGGAAUAGGUGCCUCCAAAUAAACAUUGAUGAAAAGGAAUGCUGGCAGCAGAUAUGGAUUUGCUCAAGGGCUUCAUAGAAAUUUCUUGCCUCGCCUUCUGGCUUGGCUGCAAUACAAUUAGAAACCGAACUCUAUUCUUCAUAGAUACAUGUUUAUACAAUCGUGAUGUGGCCUUAUAGAAUCUUAAUAUAUGUUGGUGUUGUAGACCUUCAUAUUAUGUAUAAUAUUCAGUAACAUCCUCCUGUACUGUUCUAAAAAAAACAUUUACCUUUUAUCCUGUUGAUUUACCUUCAUGUUUCUGUCCAGAUUUUGGAGUAACUUGCAGGCUGCCGGGAUUUGCUUGUUGGCUGUUGAUGAAGCACAUUGCAUAUCAGAAUGAGGCCAUGAUUUCAAGAUCAAGUACAAGCAGUUGCAUUCAAUUGCGUGAAAUCAUGGCCCCAUUGUUCUAGUACCACUUUAAGUCUAAUUUUGCAAGGUGCGUGGAGAUUAUUUCUAAUUCCUUGACUUCACAAUCCUCACGUUGUGGUUGGAUCAUUUGGUCGUCCUAACCUUUUCUAGGGUGUAAUAGUGGUAUUAGAAAUAUCUUUGAAUUGGAGGGCAGUGGGCCCGCCGGUGGCUAGGACGACGGAAGUGGAGCUAUGAGGAGUCGGGACGCAGCGGCAUAUUCGGAACAAAGAGCUGCUAGAUAAGGCAGAUAAGGUAGUGCGUUAUGGUGGAUAAGGCAGCACAUUAUCAGAGAAAAUGAGGAACAUAGGCAUCGUAGAGCAUUAUUGUAUGAAUUAAGUAUUACUUUAGCACUGUUACUUUAUGAAUUAAGUAUUAUUUUAGCACGAGUAUUGUACUAAUCAAUUUCUCGAAAGAGAGGAUGAUGGUUGAACCAA